rnacentral:lncRNA from 1 species
AACAUCAGCGAUAUUUAUCUUCAAUGGCUUUAGUUGUUAUUUGACUGGAUCAAUCUUAUGUUUCUUUAUCCUCUCCUCAGUAAGUUUUUUCCCCUGCCUUCCUUUUCAUGGUACUUCAAUUUGUGAUUUUUGGCUCUUUAAGAGAGAAUAUGGAUGGGAUCAUUUUACUGUAUUUCAAGAUUUUUAUGGUGAUGAGUUUCUGGUUCAUGCCCCAAUGUUCUCUCUUUUCACAUGUGAAAAAGGAUCUUGUUUUCUUGCUGUCGUUUUUGCUGUCUCACAUCUGCUUGCAGAGUCAACCACUUGAUGGUGGCUGUAUAUGUAGUUGUACAGGCAGCUGUUCCAUCUUUAAUGUUUGUGUUGUUUCCCAUUUCAGCAUCUUGUCAGUUAUUGCUUUGACAUGUAUGAUUCACAAUUUAUGUUUAAUGUGUGUGCACAUUAUAUUGUAUUUUCACAUGCCUAACAAAUGGGGGGGGAAAAAAAAGUGCUAGCAGAUUUUGACAAUACUGUGAGUUAAUUUGUUGUACUUUAUAGUUAGGAGUUGUUUCAAAAAGUUCUCCAUAAAAAGGUUUGUGGAUUUAGAUAAAAGAUGGUGAAAUGUGUCACAUGUGGUUGAAAAGUUGAUAAAAGUUGUGUGUUCCAUGAUAUUAUGGUUAAAAUCAAUUUUUUAGCAACAUUUUUUGCUUUCCUGAACAAGCACUUUGUAGAUAAGCAUUUACUAUCCCCUUACGUAUUAGACUGCAAAUAAUUCUCUUUCUUUCCUUUUCUUUUGUCCCGUCUGUAUUUGUUCCUUUUGGCAUAAUUAUUUUCGUUCAAUCAGUGCAAGCAAUAUGAGAAGGACCUAAUGGACAUGAUCGAUAGAGAAGUGGAUGGAAGUGAUAGUCUUGAGGGGAUUUGUUCUGUGCCAUUCAAUUGCUAGUGGUACAAGCUAAGGUUUCCAAAUCCUAUCACAUUGUGCAAAUUUUCUAUGUAAAUUCCAAAAUAUGAAUGUCUUGAUUCAUAUUUGAUUUUCAUAAGAAUAUGAAACUGGUUUUGUACUGUUCACGGAAGGACAGGUCAACUGCACUGUAGAGGCCCAAUUUAUUCUCUCUGCUUUCACUGUAUAUACUCAAUGUAUCUAUCUCUUCCUUUUCAUUUCUUCCCCCAUUUAGCCAUCCUUGUUGACUAUAUAAUAGUUAUUUGCUUUCCAUGUAGCCACCAUUCUUUCUAGCUACAGUGGUUCUGCAUUGUUCAUUAAAUGAUCGCCCUAACAAAGCGUCAUUUCUUCCAUCUCUAAACCCUCUUUUUUCUUUCCCGAAUUUCAAUCCCCAUUCCCAACACACUUUAAUUCCUCCUACAACGCUAAAAACCCUUCAAUUAAUUUCAUCUCUCCAGGAAUGAGCUGGCUGUACAAGCUUAGAUUUGGUGUUCUUAACUCCACCGACUCCAUGUGGAUUCCUCUUUCGAUUCUUCCAUAGCGCAUGGGACUAGACGAUCAUGUACUCGCUCUGAGCCAUCAGUUCGUGCAAUUCGAAGGAGGUAGAGAAUAUAGUAUUGGCUUCCUCCAUUGCAAUUUAUUGUUGAGUUUUUUUAAAACAGUAUUUAAUCGUAUCCCCAAGAAAAAUUUAUGAAUUUCAGUUCAGAAAUUUGAGAAAAAAUGUGAAGUUUAGGUUUGCUUUCAUCUUAAAUGUCUUAAAAGUUUGUUCUUAUUGGCAAAAAGUUUUAAAUUUCUGCAUUUAUUUAAUUAAGCUUGCUCAUUUUUAUCACCGGCAAAACUAAGAUUUCAGAUUUUGGGUGUGGUGUGGGGCUGAGCAACAUAGGGAAGCAGCAAUGCACAAAGGUCACUCAGAUUAAAAGGCUAAUUGCUAGAAACUGGUGAAUAUAAGCACAAGGAAGAUUUGGAAAUGCUUAUAAAUUUAGAGCUGGGGAAGUUAAAUUAUGUUGAGAACGAGUUCCGGAAUUAUGAAUAUAUUGUAAGAAAAAAUAAUAAAUGAGAUUGUAUAUAAAAUAAAAAGUGGAGCAAUUUGAUUGAAUUAUGCCACUAUGAGUUUUAAUUUUUGAUUUCUUUUAUUUUUUGAUUGUCAAAUUUGUCGACGAAUAAAUGAAACAUAGGAUUGAGUUGAGUAUGACGUGGAGAAAUGUGACUAGAGAGCUUGAAACAUUGACCUCUUGAAAAUUAACUUUUGAGAACGUGAAAACUUCCAACUAGAAAGUAGAAACUGCAUGAUCGGCUGAAUAAUUUGUAAAAAGAAGUGACAAACUGUAAUUUCUCUAUUUUGUGAUUUAUGUUUUCGUGAACAUUAUUGUAGCUAGAUGUUCCUUUAGUUUAUCAUUCACAUAUUGAAAUGAGAUAUUGCACAUGCUAGAAGAAAUAUGUAAUCCUCCUUCUGGUUCUUGGCAAAAUUUGAAGGUGAGUAGAAUUUUCUGAGUACGAACUUUGUUGUUGUUGUUUUUUUUUCUGGCAAUUAUAUUUAUCUUGUGAAAAACUGUUUCAGGAUUACAUGUGAAAAUCUAGGGAUGUUUUUUUUCUCAAGUUUCUUGUGAUGAUGAUGGUAAGUUAUUUUACUCAAUACAAUUUUUUUUACUAUAGAGAUGCUAAUGGCUCCGUGCAACCUUGUUAAUGGGGUUUAUAAACAUUUGUUACUAUAUUCAGGAACCUUUGGCAUAGUUAACUAUAGUAAUUGCUAAAACAUUAAUUAUGUUGUAAGUCACAGUUGUAUUCAUCUUCAAAAUGUUUGAGCUUCUGUGCAUCCAUGAAUUUUUCUAGUCAAUUUGGUAAUUUGUUGUCCUCUUGCUCAGAUCCGGAAAUUUGAUGAUCACGAUUUGAAGAAUCUUUCGACCAGAAUAAUAUCCGGGUAUUCUUUUAUAUUUUUUCUCUUCUUUGUCUGUUUUUCUUCUCUUUUAAGGGAUUAAAUUUUCAAAGAAUGUCGUUUCUUCUUUAUCAAAAAAAAAAAAAAAACCCAAAGCAAGCACUUGGAAUUCAGUUUCUAUUUCUAAUAUAGUGUUAGAAAUUACAUUUGUGCCUUUGUAACCUAUACAAUGCUCAAAUCUUGAACUUCUUACUUCUUAGAGGGAUUUAACUCUUACAGUAUCGUAAUUUUUACUACUAAAAUCUAAGAAUUCGUACAAUAAUAUCUUUACGAAAGUAACUAUCUUAUGAAAUAAUAAACUUUUUUCUUUGUAAAUCAAUAAAUUCAGGUAAAGGAAUACAAGCA